rnacentral:rRNA from 1 species
GACGAACGCUGGCGGCGUGCUUAACACAUGCAAGUCGAACGGAAAGGCCCUGCUUGCAGGGUAUUCGAGUGGCGAACGGGUGAGUAACACGUGGGUGAUCUGCCCUGCACUUCGGGAUAAGCCUGGGAAACUGGGUCUAAUACCGGAUAGGAGCCAUUUUUAGUGUGAUGGUUGGAAAGUUUUUUCGGUGUAGGAUGAGCUCGCGGCCUAUCAGCUUGUUGGUGGGGUAAUGGCCUACCAAGGCGGCGACGGGUAGCCGGCCUGAGAGGGUGGACGGCCACAUUGGGACUGAGAUACGGCCCAGACUCCUACGGGAGGCAGCAGUGGGGAAUAUUGCACAAUGGGCGCAAGCCUGAUGCGGCGACGCCGCGUGGGGGAUGACGGCCUUCGGGUUGUAAACUGCUUUCGCUAGGGACGAAGCUUUUUGUGACGGUACCUAGAUAAGAAGCACCGGCUAACUACGUG